rnacentral:rRNA from 1 species
GACGAACGCUGGCGGCGUGCCUAAUACAUGCAAGUCGAACGCUUCUUUUCCACCGAGUGCUUGCACUCAUCGGGAAAGAGGAGUGGCGGACGGGCGAGUAACACGUGGGUAACCUGCCCAUCAGAAGGGGAUAACACUUGGAAACAGGUGCUAAUACCGUAUAACAAUCGGAACCGCAUGGUUCUGGUUUGAAAGGCGCUUUCGGGUGUCGCUGAUGGAUGGACCCGCGGUGCAUUAGCUAGUUGGUGAGGUAACGGCUCACCAAGGCCACGUUGCAUAGCCGACCUGAGAGGGUGAUCGGCCACACUGGGACUGAGACACGGCCCAGACUCCUACGGGAGGCAGCAGUAGGGAAUCUUCGGCAAUGGACGAAAGUCUGACCGAGCAACGCCGCGUGAGUGAAGAAGGUUUUCGGAUCGUAAAACUCUGUUGUUAGAGAAGAACAAGGACGUUAGUAACUGAACGUCCCCUGACGGUAUCUAACCAGAAAGCCACGGCUAACUACGUGCCAGCCGCCGCCGUAAAAC